ensembl:lncRNA
GGAGCAGUAGUCAUGGUGAUGGACGAAACUACAGGUUAGUCUCUGGAGCAGUAGUCAUGGUGUUGGAGGAAACUACAGUUUUGUCUCUGGAGCUGUAGUGAUGGUGUUGGAGGAAACUACAGGUUAGUCUCUGGAGCAGUAGUCAUGGUGUUGGAGGAAACUACUGGUUAGUCUCUGGAGCAGUAGUCAUGGUGUUGGAGGAAACUACAGGUUAGUCUCUGGAGCAGUAGUCAUGGUGAUGGAGGAAACUACAGGUUAGUCUGGAGCAGUAGUCAUGGUGAUGGAGGAAACUACAGGUUAGUUUCUGGAGCAGUAGUCAUGGUGAUGGAAGAAACUACAGGUUAUUGUCUGGAGCAGUAGUCAUGGUGAUGGAGGAAACUACAG